AGCUGUCUUCACCCAGUGGAUCCCGCACCUGGGCGGCAGGUGGAGCUGCCGGCCAGUCCUGGGCGGUGCGCCGGCACUCCUCAGCCCUUGGGCGGUGGAUGGGACUGGGCUCCGUGGAGCAGGGGGCGGCGCUCGUUGGGAAAGCUCGGGCCGCGCAGGAGCCCACGGCGGGCUGGGGAGGCUCAGGCACGGCGGGCUGCAGGUCCCGAGCUCUGCCCCGCGGGGAGGCAGCUAAGGCCCGGCGAGAAAUCGAGCACAGCAGCUGUCGGCCCAUGUGCUAAGCCCCUCACUCCCCGGGUCGGCGGGGCCCGCCGGCCACUCCGAGUGCGAGGCCCGCCGAGCCCACGCCUACCCGGAACUCGCGCUGGCCCGCAAGCGCCGCGCGCAGCCCCGAUUCCCGCCCGCGCCUCUCCCUCCACACCUCCCUGCAAGCUGAGGGAGCCGGCUCCGGCCUUGGCCAGCCCAGAAAGGGGCUCCUACAGUGCAGCGGCGGGCUGAAGAGCUCCUCAAGCACGGCCAGAGUGGGCGCUAAGGCCGAGGAGGCCCCGAGAGCGAGCGAGGGCUGUGAGCGCUGCCAGCAUGCUGUCACCUCUCAAUAGUAAGUUCUGGAAGCUGAGAAGUCCGAAAUCAAGGUACCAGCAGGGUCCGGUCUGCUGAGGGCUGCUCUCUGCUGUGCCCUCCAGAGAGAACAAAUGCUGUGUCCUCCAGGAGGAAGGGAAGAGUGGCUUAUUUAAUUGGUGAAUUUUAGAGAAGAAAUUGAGAAUGUCUGCUACUUUUCAUCCCUCCUGAAACUACUACUAUUUUUAGAGGUGCCUAACAUGUUGACCUGCUCUUUGUCUUCUGAAUCUAAUUGGAAACCAUCUUGGAACACACAUGUUGUAUAAAAUGAGAUACCACUAUCUGCAUCUUGUGCCUUUUGUAACAAUAUAAUAAAAUUGUCAUAUAUUGAUUGCCGGAAUCAAUACCAGGACAUUUACAUACAUUUUCUGAUUUAACUUUUGUAAUAUGGGCAGUCAUUUUGAUUCUAUCGGUCAGGAAGUGGUGACUCAAGAAAGGAAGUAAUUUGCCUAAAAUUACAGGACUGGACCCAGACUUUCAGAUCCCAACAUCUUUAUACUUAAAAAAAAAUUCAUCUAUACUCUGUGUGUUCUAUUUUAGUAUAUGUUAUUAGAAAAUAACAGUAAUUCUCUCUCUCUCUCUCUCUGCCUCUGUGUGUGUGUGUGACACAGAGGAACUAAAUAGAAUGAUAGGAAUGCAGCAUCUGGCCACAUCUCAGGGAUGUUAAAUGAGAAUCUACAUUUUAACAAAAUGUCUAGUUAAUCCCUAUUUAUAUUAAAAUGAGAAACACUGAGUUAGAUAAGAUUACCCUUAUGUUACAGAUCAAAAUCCUCAGAAACAAAAAGUUUUCCAGCUCAGAUUGUGAAGAUCUUCUCAAGUUUUGUCAAGCAAUUGGGACAGUAAGUAUAGCAAAGGUAGAGGCGGGUAUUAAUGAUUACUAACUGUCUGCUUCAUUGAGCUCAUUGCAACAGUAGAUGGAGAAUACUGGAGAAGAGAAUAUAAUCAGCCCCCCAUACCCAUGGGUUCCACAUUCGUGGAUUCAAUCAACUUUGGAUCAAAAAUUUAAAAAAAAACAUGACAAUAAAAAACAACACAAAUCUUAAAAACAAUAAAGCUUAACAAUUAUUUACAUAGCAUUUAUAUUAGGUAUUGUAAGUAAUCUGG
rnacentral:lncRNA from 10 species